GCGGGUGUAGCUCAGCGGUAGAGCACUUCGUUGCCAACGAAGAUGUCGUGAGUUCGAUCCUCAUCACCCGCUCCA
rnacentral:tRNA from 1 species